GGCAACGUGGCUGAGUGGUUAAAGCGUAUGACUAGAAUUUCAUUAUUUCAUUUCUCCAACCAAGGUGAAGAAAGUUGAAGUACGCAUUGUUCUAGCGCAUCAUAUCCCUUCGGGGUCGUAGGUUCAAAUCCUGCCGUUGUCG